UAGGGAAUCUUGCGCAAUGGGCGAAAGCCUGACGCAGCCAUGCCGCGUGAAUGAUGAAGGUCUUAGGAUUGUAAAAUUCUUUCACCGGGGAAGACAAUGACGGUACCCGGAGAAGAAGCCCCGGCUAACUUCGUGCCAGCAGCCGCGGUAAUACGAAGGGGGCUAGCGUUGCUCGGAAUUACUGGGCGUAAAGGGCGCGUAGGCGGAUAUUUAAGUUGGGGGUGAAAGCCCGGGGCUCAACCUCGGAAUAGCCUUCAAUACUGGAUAUCUUGAGUUCGGGAGAGGUGAGUGGAAUGCCGAGUGUAGAGGUGAAAUUCGUAGAUAUUCGGCGGAACACCAGUGGCGAAGGCGACUCACUGGCCCGAUACUGACGCUGAGGCGCGAAAGCGUGGGGAGCAAACAGGAUUAGAUACCCUGGUAGUCCACGCCGUAAACGAUGAGUGCUAGUUGUCGGCAUGCAUGCAUGUCGGUGACGCAGCUAACGCAUUAAGCACUCCGCCUGGGGAGU
rnacentral:rRNA from 1 species